rnacentral:rRNA from 1 species
UGAAUACGAGACGCUAAGGCGUCGAAGUAGUGUAUGUCAUACUUCCAAGAAAAGCUUGCACUGUCAUAAGUAAAAAAUGCCUGUACCAUAACCGACACAGGUGGGUAGGUAGAGUAUACUAAGGGGCGCGAGAUAACUCUCUCUAAGGAACUCGGCAAAAUAACUCCGUAACUUCGGGAGAAGGAGUACCUUAUUCUAUAAGGUUGCAAUAACAAGAUCCAAGCAACUGUUUAUCAAAAACACAGGUCUCCGCUAAGUCGUAAGACGAUGUAUGGGGGCUGACGCCUGCCCAGUGCCAGAAGGUUAAAGAAGUCGGUUAGCAUUAGCGAAGCUGGUAACUGAAGCCCUGGUGAACGGCGGCCGUAACAAUAACGGUCCUAAGGUAGCGAAAUUCCUUGUCGGGUAAGUUCCGACCCGCACGAAAGGCGUAAUGAUUUGGAUACUGUCUCGGAGAGGGGCUCGGUGAAAUAGACUUGUCUGUGAAGAUGCGGACUACCUGCACCAGGACAGAAAGACCCUAUGAAGCUUUACUGUAACUUGAAAUUGAAAUUGGACUUUAUUCGCGCAGUAUAGGUGGGAGGUGUUGAUUAUAAUCUUGCGGGAUUAUUGGAGCCAUCAGUGAGAUACCACUCUUGUAAUGUUAGAUUUCUAACUUUGAAUCAUUAUCUGGUCAAAGGACAGUUUCAGGCGGGCAGUUUGACUGGGGCGGUCGCCUCCCAAACGGUAACGGAGGCGUACAAAGGUUUCCUCUGAACGGGUAGAAAUCGUAUCUAGAGUGUAAAGGCAUAAGGAAGCUUGACUGUGAGACCUACAAGUCGAACAGGGACGAAAGUCGGUCUUAGUGAUCUGACGGUACUGAGUGGAAAGGCCGUCACUCAACGGAUAAAAGUUACUCUAAGGAUAACAGGCUGAUCUCCCCCAAGAGUUCACAUCGACGGGGAGGUUUGGCACCUCGAUGUCGGCUCAUCGCAUCCUGGGGCGGUAGUACGUCCCAAGGGUUGGGCUGUUCGCCCAUGAAAGCGGUACGCGAGCUGGGUUCAGAACGUCGUGAGACAGUUCGGUCCAUAUCCGGUGUAGGCGUUAGAAUAUUGAGAGGAGCCUUCUUUAGUACGAGAGGACCGAGAAGGACAUACCUCUGGUGUACCAGUUAUCGUGCCAACGGUAAACGCUGGGUAGCUAUGUAUGGAGUGGAUAACCGCUGAAAGCAUCUAAGUGGGAAGCCCACCUCAAGAUAAGUAUUCUCACC